rnacentral:rRNA from 1 species
GAGUUUGAUCAUGGCUCAGGAUGAACGCUAGCGGCGGGCCUAAUACAUGCAAGUCGAGCGCCCCUUUCGGGGGGAGCGGCGGACGGGUGCGGAACGCGUAAACAACCUACCCUUCGGCGGGGGACAACCCAGGGAAACCUGGGCUAAUACCCCAUAACGCAGCGGCCCGGCAUCGGGACAGUUGCUAAAGAUUCCAUCGCCGGGGGACGGGUUUGCGCCGGAUUAGCUAGUUGGGGGGGUAACGGCCCACCAAGGCGACGAUCCGUAGCUGGUCUGAGAGGAUGACCAGCCACACUGGCACUGAGACACGGGCCAGACUCCUACGGGAGGCAGCAGUAGGGAAUAUUGGUCAAUGGACGGAAGUCUGAACCAGCCAUGCCGCGUGGAGGAUGAAGGCCCUCUGGGUUGUAAACUUCUUUUAUAGGGGGCGAAAAAAGGCCUUUUCAGGUCGUCUGACGGUACCCUAUGAAUAAGCACCGGCUAACUCCGUGCCAGCAGCCGCCGCCGUAAU